UGGGGAAUAUUGCGCAAUGGGCGAAAGCCUGACGCAGCGACGCCGCGUGAGGGAUGAAGGUUUUCGGAUCGUAAACCUCUGUCAGAAGGGAAGAAACCGCACUGUGCUAAUCAGCAGUGCCUUGACGGUACCUUCAAAGGAAGCACCGGCUAACUCCGUGCCAGCAGCCGCGGUAAUACGGAGGGUGCAAGCGUUAAUCGGAAUUACUGGGCGUAAAGCGCACGUAGGCUGCUUUGUAAGUCAGGGGUGAAAUCCCACGGCUCAACCGUGGAACUGCCUUUGAUACUGCUUAGCUUGAAUACGGGAGAGGGUGGCGGAAUUCCAGGUGUAGGAGUGAAAUCCGUAGAUAUCUGGAGGAACAUCAGUGGCGAAGGCGGCCACCUGGACCGGUAUUGACGCUGAGGUGCGAAAGCGUGGGGAGCAAACAGG
rnacentral:rRNA from 1 species